rnacentral:rRNA from 1 species
UACGUAGGUGGCGAGCGUUGUCCGGAAUUAUUGGGCGUAAAGCGCGCGCAGGCGGGAAAGUAAGUCUACUCUAAAAGUGCGGGGCUCAACCCCGUGAUGGGGUGGAAACUGCUUUUCUUGAGUGCCGGAGAGGAAAGUGGAAUUCCCAGUGUAGCGGUGAAAUGCGUAGAUAUUGGGAGGAACACCAGUGGCGAAGGCGGCUUCCUGGACCUGUUCUGACGCUGAGGAGCGAAAGCGUGGGGAGCGAUCCGG